AUACUUACCUAGCAGGGGAGAUACUAUGAUCCUGAAAGCAGUUUUCUUAGGAUGAGGCUUAUCCAUUACACUCCUGAUAUGUUGAAUCAGUGUCCUCAAAUGUGGGAAUCUUGACUGCAUAAUUUGUGCUAGUGACUGGGGGACUCCAUUUGUGCUUUCCUCUG
rnacentral:snRNA from 1 species